rnacentral:misc_RNA from 1 species
GAUGAAGAACGCAGCGAAAUGCGAUAAGUAAUGUGAAUUGCAGAAUUCAGUGAAUCAUCGAAUCUUUGAACGCACCUUGCACUCCUUGGUAUUCCGAGGAGUACGCCUGUUCGAGUGUUAUGAAGCUCUCAAAACGCAAUUGGCUUUAAACCUGAUUGUUGUUUUGGAUUUGAACUUUGCCGUGUUAUAACGGCUGGUUUUAAAAGUAUUAGCUGGUACUAGAACGAAUUGGUUCUACUCAACGUGAUAAUUAUCUGAUCGUUGAGGACAUUCCUUUCACGAGGAAUGGCCAUAGUAAAUUCAAUGGACUGCUUCUAAUCUGGCUUUAAUUCUUUAUUGGAUUAACCACUUUUCAAAUCUGACCUCGAAUCAGGUGGGACUACCCGCUGAACUUAAGCAUAUCAAUAAGCGGAGGA